AAAACAAACACGCAUUCAUCACCAACAAAGAUCAAACCAACACAUGAUAUUCAAUCCAACACGCCAAAUAUAGUAAACAAUAAAAUAAAAGAGAAAAAGAGUACAAUUGGACCUCAAUUAUCAAUUUUGAUAUAUCAAAGAUAGAACUGCGUUCGGAAAACCUCGAUUCGAACCUAGACAUGAAACAAAAAUCCAAACUCGGUAUCAAAUUCAACCCGCUACUGAUCUUGAUGAAUACUGAGGUGAAUAUAACUCUAAAUCACAAAUAUUGACACCACUUAAUCAUGAAAACCCCCAAAGCACAGUAUUAAAAACGAAUCACGAAGACAGACGAACCCAAAGCCCUCUUAAAAUCCAACAGUCUAAAACCUGUACAAUCUGAGCUCCUGUAAGCUGAUGGUGGAAAAAGUCGACAAGAAAAUGGUUGGAAAGAAACUGACGGUGCUGUUUUUCGGUGAUUUUCACCGAAAACAGUAGCGUAUGGAGACAACAAGGUUUUCGGCGAGUUUUUGAUGAGAAACUCACCGACACCCUCAAAUUGUCCUUAUUCCUCACCCUCUUUCCUUCGAUUUUAUCAUUUCUCUCCAAUUUACCUCACUUUGUUCAUCACUUUUGAUCAAUUUUCUUUAUUUUUUCCAAUGCGUGUGAGUGUAUCAUUGUGGUAUUAAGGUGGGGGGUGUUCGUGUAUGAUUUUCAGUGAGUGUUCAAGAGAUUUAUGUGUGUGCAUCUGUGUAUUUGUUGUGAGGAUCCUUCUGAGAGUGUGUAUGCUGUUAUUCCCUAGAAAUAAAUGUGUGUUCCUCUGUAUCCUUAUCCCCUUAAUGGAAGGAAAACAGAGGAGUCUAUGUCC
rnacentral:lncRNA from 1 species